GCCGUGAUCAUUUUCAAGAGAUUCUAUGCAAGUUGGGCAUUCGAAAUCUCUAUGCGCCAACUUGAGGGAGACUAUUAGGAAUGUACAUUGCCUAUAUAUCAGGAAUAUACAGAAUAUUAGGAAUGUACAUUGUCUAGAAUAUCUUUUUACAAUGACAUGUUACAGAAUAUUAGGAAUGUACAUUGUCUAGAAUAUUUUAAUUAC
rnacentral:lncRNA from 1 species